GUACUUACCUGGCAGGGGAGAUACCAUGAUCAUGAAGGUGGUUUUCCCAGGGUGAGGCUCAUCCAUUGCACUCCGAGUAUGCUGACCCCUGCAAUUUCCCCAAAUGCGGGAAACUCAACUGCAAAAUUUGUGGUAGUUUGAUAGGUUUGUGGUAGUUUGACAGG